GAUGAACGCUAGCUACAGGCUUAACACAUGCAAGUCGCGGGGCAGCAUGGGGGUUGCUUGCAACCCCUGGUGGCGACCGGCGCACGGGUGAGUAACGCGUAUCCAACCUGCCCUUCGCCACGGGAUAACCCGGCGAAAGUCGGACUAAUACCGUAUGUUGUCCAUUGACGGCAUCCGAUUUGGACGAAAGGCUUGGCGUUGAAAGGAUGGGGAUGCGUCCGAUUAGCUUGACGGCGGGGUAACGGCCCACCGUGGCUACGAUCGGUAGGGGUUCUGAGAGGAAGGUCCCCCACACUGGAACUGAGACACGGUCCAGACUCCUACGGGAGGCAGCAGUGAGGAAUAUUGGUCAAUGGGCGUAAGCCUGAACCAGCCAAGUAGCGUGCAGGAUGACGGCCCUAUGGGUUGUAAACUGCUUUUAUGCGGGGAUAAAGUGGCCCACGUGUGGGCUUUUGCAGGUACCGCAUGAAUAAGGACCGGCUAAUUCCGUG
rnacentral:rRNA from 1 species